AUGGUUUUCCAGGGUGUGUCAGUCUCAAUGCAGUGUUCUGCAGUGAGGAAAUGCCAUGUUUGGAGUGAAUGCCAUUUGCUUCCCAUCUCUGUAGAAAGAGAUCUGCCACUGAUGCAGGCAGAGUACAGGUUGUUGUCCUAUAAAGCUGUUCAAGUUCCUCUCUUCGUCAGAACAUCUUCCUGCUAUCCCUGCUGCCCAUAAACAUUAUGUUAGAUCGAGAAGAAGGGAUACACACCUUCCAGCCUCAGGAUACAGCAGUGAAGGUCUGAUUGCGCUGAUCUGAUCUACGUCAGAACAGAGAGGCUUCUUUGGAGCAGUCACCCUCUUCUCCAUGCC